rnacentral:sRNA from 1 species
CCAGCACCCAACUUUACCACCCUCCCCCACCUCUCCCCCGAAACUCCAGCAACAAAGAAAAGUAGUCGGAGAAGGAGCGGCGACUCAGGGUCGCCCGCCCCUCCUCACCGAGGAAGGCCGGAGAACGCCCAUAUAAAUGUGAACUUUGUCCUUACUCAAGUUCUCAGAAGACUCAUCUAACUAGACAUAUGCGUACUCAUUCAGAAAGGGAAAAGAUUACAGCAAACACCUCAAUCGCCAUUUGGUUAAUGUGUACUAUCUUGAAGAAGCAGCUCAAGGGCAGGAGUAAUGAAACUUUGAACAAGGUUUCAGUUCUUAGUUUG